rnacentral:rRNA from 1 species
CCCUUCGAUGUUCGGAGCUGCACGCGCGCUACACUGUGGGUGGCAGCAUGUUAGCUUGCCUCGCUCGCAAGAGUGGGGUAAUCGUUUGAAAAUCCCACGUGAUUGGGAUAGGGACUUGUAAUUAUUUCCCUUGAACGAGGAAUUCCUAGUAAACGCAAGUCAUCAGCUUGCAUUGAUUACGUCCCUGCCCUUUGUACACACCGCCCGUCGCACCUACCGAUUGAAUGGUCCGGUGAAAUCUCGGGACGGCGGCUUGGUCGCUUGCGUCCGACUGCUGAAACUUGAUUAAACCAUAUCAUUUAGAGGAAGGUGAAGUCGUAACA